ensembl:piRNA 21ur-11542 ncRNA
UUGUUAACCGUUUCAUCUUAU